UACGGAGGGAGCUAGCGUUGUUCGGAAUUACUGGGCGUAAAGCGCGCGUAGGCGGCUUUGUAAGUUAGAGGUGAAAGCCCGGGGCUCAACCCCGGAACUGCCUUUAAAACUGCAUCGCUUGAAUCCGGGAGAGGUGAGUGGAAUUCCGAGUGUAGAGGUGAAAUUCGUAGAUAUUCGCAAGAACACCAGUGGCGAAGGCGGCUCACUGGCCCGGUACUGACGCUGAGGUGCGAAAGCGUGGGGAGCAAACAGG
rnacentral:rRNA from 1 species